rnacentral:rRNA from 1 species
GUCCACGCCCUAACGAUGUCAACUGGUUGUUGGGAAUUCACUUUCUCAGUAACGAAGCUAACGCGUGAAGUUGACCGCCUGGGGAGUACGGCCGCAAGGUUGAAACUCAAAGGAAUUGACGGGACCCGCACAAGCGGUGGAUGAUGUGGUUUAAUUCGAUGCAACGCGAAACCUUACCCACCUUUGACAUGUACGGAAUCCUUUAGAGAUAGAGGAGUGCUCGAAAGAGAGCCGUAACACAGGUGCUGCAUGGCUGUCGU